GAAUCACACCACCAGCUGGCCUGGGGCUCCAGCUUGCAGACAGCAGAUCCUGGGACUUCUUGGCCUCCAUAAUUCUGACCAACUACGCAGAUCACUGACUGGCUGACUUUGGUUAAAGUGGGUGGACGAUGGAGAGCGGAGUGGAACUGCUCAGAUACAGAUUGCUGAAGAUAUUUGAAUCUUGCGUUCACCUCCUCUGGACUGUGGCUUCCUAAUUAGACUACUUCAAAUGCUAACUCACCACUCCUAGGAUGUGGAUUAAAGUUAGCUUACAACUGGAAACAACCAAAAUGCCCACCAACGCGGGACUGCUUAAAGAAAGUUCGGUGCGAUCAUUUAGUGAGCCACUCUGCUGCUGAAAUUAAAAAAUAAGGAAGCUCUCUGGGCGCUGGUGAGGAAAGACCUCCCGGACAUAGGAUUCAGUGAGGAGAGCAAGUGAAUCUUCCUGACGGUUUCAAGGAAAACCUACAUACACAGAAGAAUGUCUGGGGGAAAUGAGAGGACGAAAGACAAAUUGAAGCCAAGAGGCUUCAACCCCUGCAAGGUGGGAAGCCCCAGAUGUGACUCUAACCUUUCUCACAGCCAUUGCUGAAGGGAUGUCAGUUCGUCCAGUCUGUGACCCAUGCCAGGUACCUCGAGGAGUGCUGGUAGGAUGGCAGGCUGGGCAGAACUGUGAGAGCUGACAGAGCCAGCAUCUCUGCUUAUAAGUAGAGAUUGAGCAAAAAGCGUCCCGAAGUUGAGAGUCUCUUUCUUUCCCACGGUAAUUCACAAAGUGGAAACUCUG
rnacentral:lncRNA from 1 species